CCUACGGGAGGCAGCAGUGGGGAAUAUUGGACAAUGGGCGCAAGCCUGAUCCAGCAAUGCCGCGUGUGUGAAGAAGGCCUUCGGGUUGUAAAGCACUUUUAUCAGGAGCGAAAUGCCAUUGGUUAAUACCCGGUGGAGCUGACGGUACCUGAGGAAUAAGCACCGGCUAACUUCGUGCCAGCAGCCGCGGUAAUA
rnacentral:rRNA from 1 species